UGUUUCAUUUUGACUGUGUUGCAGAUACAAGAUGUUGAGAAACAAGUAGACAAGCUGUCUGGGUUGCUUACAAAACUUAAGGAUGCUAAUGAGGAGUCAAAGUCCGUUACAAAAGCUUCAUCCAUGAAAGCAAUCAAAAAGCGAAUGGAGAAAGAUGUUGAUGAAGUGGGAAAGAUUGCACAAAAUGUCAAAUCAAAAUUAG